rnacentral:rRNA from 3 species
AAAUUGAAGAGUUUGAUCAUGGCUCAGAUUGAACGCUGGCGGCAGGCCUAACACAUGCAAGUCGAACGGUAACAGGAAGCAGCUUGCUGCUUCGCUGACGAGUGGCGGACGGGUGAGUAAUGUCUGGGAAACUGCCUGAUGGAGGGGGAUAACUACUGGAAACGGUGGCUAAUACCGCAUAACGUCGCAAGACCAAAGAGGGGGACCUUCGGGCCUCUUGCCAUCAGAUGUGCCCAGAUGGGAUUAGCUUGUUGGU